rnacentral:rRNA from 1 species
CCUACGGGUGGCUGCAGUCGAGAAUCAUUCACAAUGGGGGAAACCCUGAUGGUGCGACGCCGCGUGGGGGAAUGAAGGUCUUCGGAUUGUAAACCCCUGUCAUGUGGGAGCAAAUUAAAAAGAUAGUACCACAAGAGGAAGAGACGGCUAACUCUGUGCCAGCAGCCGCGGUAAUACAGAGGUCUCAAGCGUUGUUCGGAAUCACUGGGCGUAAAGCGUGCGUAGGCGUUUUCGUAAGUCGUGUGUGAAAGGCGCGGGCUCAACCCGCGGACGGCACAUGAUACUGCGAGACUGGUGUAAGGGAGGGGGAAGCGGAAUUCCCGGUGUAGGAGUGAAAUGCGUAGAU